UAAUACGGAGGGGGCUAGCGUUGUUCGGAUUUACUGGGCGUAAAGCGUACGUAGGCGGCUUUGUAAGUUAGAGGUGAAAGCCCAGGGCUCAACCCUGGAAUAGCCUUUAAGACUGCAUCGCUUGAACGUCGGAGAGGUGAGUGGAAUUCCGAGUGUAGAGGUGAAAUUCGUAGAUAUUCGGAAGAACACCAGUGGCGAAGGCGACUCACUGGACGACUGUUGACGCUGAGGUACGAAAGCGUGGGGAGCAAACAGGAUUAGAUACCCUGGUAGUCCACGCCGUAAACGAUGAUAACUAGCUGUCGGGGCUCUUAGAGCUUCGGUGGCGCAGCUAACGCAUUAAGUUAUCCGCCUGGGGAGUACGGUCGCAAGAUUA
rnacentral:rRNA from 1 species